GUCCACGCUGUAAACGAUGAGUGCUAGGUGUAGGGGGUAUCGACUCCUUCUGUGCCGCAGUUAACGCAUUAAGCACUCCGCCUGGGGAGUACGGCCGCAAGGUUAAAACUCAAAGGAAUUGACGGGGGCCCCGCACAAGCGGUGGAGUAUGUGGUUUAAUUCGAUGAUACGCGAGAAACCUUACCUGGUCUUGACAUGUAGAGAACCCUUAAGAGAUUAGGGGGUGCCUGCUUGCAGGAGCUCUAACACAGGUGGUGCAUGGUUGUCGU
rnacentral:rRNA from 1 species